rnacentral:SRP_RNA from 1 species
GCUGGGUUUGGUGGCUCACGCCUGUGAUCCCAGCACUUUGGGAGGCUGAGGUGGGUGGAUCAUCUGAGGUCAGGAGUUCAGCCUGGCCAACUCUACUAAAAAUACAAAAAUUAGNNNNNNNNNNCACUAGCUGGGAUUACAGGCACCCGCCACCAUGCCCGGCUAAUUUUUGUAUUUUUAGUAGAGUUGGCCAGGCUGAACUCCUGACCUCAGAUGAUCCACCCACCUCAG